GACAAAUGCCCUGCUUCCAGGAAAAGCCUCUAAGCAUCAGGUAACAUUAAAUCGUACCCCAAACCGACACAGGUGGUCAGGUAGAGAAUACCAAGGCGCUUGAGAGAACUCGGGUGAAGGAACUAGGCAAAAUGGUGCCGUAACUUCGGGAGAAGGCACGCUGAUAUGUAGGUGAAGCGACUUGCUCGUGGAGCUGAAAUCAGUCGAAGAUACCAGCUGGCUGCAACUGUUUAUUAAAAACACAGCACUGUGCAAACACGAAAGUGGACGUAUACGGUGUGACGCCUGCCCGGUGCCGGAAGGUUAAUUGAUGGGGUUAGCGGCAACGCGAAGCUCUUGAUCGAAGCCCCGGUAAACGGCGGCCGUAACUAUAACGGUCCUAAGGUAGCGAAAUUCCUUGUCGGGUAAGUUCCGACCUGCACGAAUGGCGUAAUGAUGGCCAGGCUGUCUCCACCCGAGACUCAGUGAAAUUGAACUCGCUGUGAAGAUGCAGUGUACCCGCGGCAAGACGGAAAGACCCCGUGAACCUUUACUAUAGCUUGACACUGAACAUUGAGCCUUGAUGUGUAGGAUAGGUGGGAGGCUUUGAAGUGUGGACGCCAGUCUGCAUGGAGCCGACCUUGAAAUACCACCCUUUAAUGUUUGAUGUUCUAACGUGGGCCCGUAAUCCGGGUUGCGGACAGUGUCUGGUGGGUAGUUUGACUGGGGCGGUCUCCUCCUAAAGAGUAACGGAGGAGCACGAAGGUUGGCUAAUCCUGGUCGGACAUCAGGAGGUUAGUGCAAUGGCAUAAGCCAGCUUGACUGCGAGCGUGACGGCGCGAGCAGGUGCGAAAGCAGGUCAUAGUGAUCCGGUGGUUCUGAAUGGAAGGGCCAUCGCUCAACGGAUAAAAGGUACUCCGGGGAUAACAGGCUGAUACCGCCCAAGAGUUCAUAUCGACGGCGGUGUUUGGCACCUCGAUGUCGGCUCAUCACAUCCUGGGGCUGAAGUAGGUCCCAAGGGUAUGGCUGUUCGCCAUUUAAAGUGGUACGCGAGCUGGGUUUAGAACGUCGUGAGACAGUUCGGUCCCUAUCUGCCGUGGGCGCUGGAGAACUGAGGGGGGCUGCUCCUAGUACGAGAGGACCGGAGUGGACGCAUCACUGGUGUU
rnacentral:rRNA from 1 species